ACGCACGGUAAAUUCAGGGUUCCAGGGACGUUCACAUUAGUGACAGGAUGACGCGACGUGAACAUCGUGCUCUCCCUCAUCACUAUGAUUUUGGUUACGCGUCUGCGCGCGCCCUGCAUCAGCGGCCGGGCCACAUAGCAAUCAGGUGGUAAAAUGCAACUUUUAAGGAUAGCUUUUGAAGGCAGCUAUGGUGUUGUUGUUACCUUACAAGGGCCGACAAUAUGAGAAAAUGACAUAUUUGAUGGGUAACUAAACGGCAAUGAGUAGGUUAACCGGAUGAAACGAGACUAGAAGCAAGACAAUCAUGAGCUCCUCUUUUCCCAAAUCCGAAUCCAAGACCUCAUUGCUGAAAUCUUCCUCGGCAAGCGGAAGAUCGACACACUUCCCUGAACGUACGACAGGAACCGACCGAAAUCAUCAUCAUCAUCACCACCGUCCAGCUGCAAGUCAAGUGAGCAGCAAUGCCGCAGAGGAGUCUUUCUGGUCGGCAGAGUGCGACGUUACUGCGAGGAGACCCCUGUGCCACCCUUCGCUCCUCGGUACCCGGAAUAGGGCGACGACCCGAGCUAGUAAGAGCCAGCCCCACGCCCCACAUGGCAACGUUCCCGCCGCCCACUCCCAGGAUGACCCAUCUGAGCAACAUGGUGUGGUUCGAGGUGUGAGAGAACGCUGCAAGUCAUCCAAGCAUCACCGACACCACCGGAAAACGACCCGGGACGACCAGCCAGCUGCACAACACCACAGCCACACUCACCCUACCCGUUUAGACCCCAGAAUAGGCAUGCAGCCCCACUCAGACUGCAAAGACGACACCGCGCUCUUGUUUGAAUCGAGGGACCAUACAAGGGCCAGUUCGUCUGCUAGCGUGGAUGUCAGCAUCCCGUCCCCAGCUUCCUCCUCGCCUAUCCCCGUAUCCAGCCGAUCCUCUCACCGCUCUCGAAGGUCCAGCGCAGCAUCUUGUGAAUCUGACUUUUUGCGGCCAAUUCUCAACUCGGUUUUUGGACAGGACAGAGACCUGAGGCCAGAGGAGAUUGAUGAGUUGCGGGAUGCUUUUAAGGAGUUUGAUAAGGACAAAGAUGGUUUCAUCAGCUGUAAAGACCUGGGAAACUGUAUGAGAACCAUGGGAUACAUGCCUACUGAAAUGGAGUUGAUAGAACUGAGCCAACAGAUCAACAUGAAUUUGGGAGGUCAUGUUGACUUUGAGGAUUUUGUGGAGUUGAUGGGCCCCAAACUUCUCGCUGAAACUGCAGAUAUGAUUGGUGUAAAAGAACUGAGAGAUGCCUUCAAAGAGUUUGACACCAAUGGUGAUGGAGCGAUAAGCACAUCUGAGCUGAGAGAAGCCAUGAGGAAGUUGCUGGGACAACAGGUGAGGUUACAGAAUGAAGUCUGUCUGAGUAGCUUAACCGAUGUAUGCAUCACUACUAAAAACGUUGUUUUACACACACGUAUUCCUCCUUUGUUACUGGACUGUAGGUUGGCCACAAGGACUUAGAAGAUAUCCUGAGGGACAUCGACUUGAAUGGUGAUGGGCAUGUUGACUUUGAAGAGUUUGUACGAAUGAUGUCCCGCUGAGAGGAGGAAUGGUCGAUAUGGCUUCAAGUUAAUUAUUCUGAAUGUGAACCUCGGCCCCUUUGUCAUCAUCAUUGAAUGAGCAAAACGGAAUAAAUACUUGGACCUCUGAGCUAUCUUUUCCUGAGAAAAACUGGAAUUAAAGCCCUUACCUCUAAGUAGAAACGGAAGACCACGGUACUGCUCAAAAUAGUGUUCUUCCCUAAAAGCCCCACAUUCCAACUUAGACAGGUUCUACUGUAGCUUACAGACUGACCCGCUAAUGGUUUCCACACUAUUAACCCUCCACGAACUGUAUACACUUGUGUGUAGCCUGCUGUUUAGGCAAGUUUUGUUUCUCAACCUUUAAAUGGCAAUAUUUCUUGUGACUACUGAUAUGUUCUUCAAGUUUGGGUAAUAGAGUGAGAAAAGCAGAGAGUCUUAUUUGUGUGUGUGUUUGUCACUGUGAUCUUUUGUGAGGUGAUCACUGUGUUUACCCAGCACCAUAAAUGCACCAGAUCCUCUCUAAUGCACUGGGUUUAUGGGACAAGCAAGAGCUAAGAGGACCUCAGCAAACACGCUUUUCCCAGAUCUGGAAAAUAGUAGCUUUUCUUCACAUUUGUGUGCAGUGCAUAAACAUGAUGGUUUAUGUGUACAGUAUCCUGUCUGUCUGUCUGUCUGUCUGUCUGUCUGUCUGUCUGUCUGUCUGUCUGUCUGUCUGUCUGUCUGUCUGUCUGUCUGUCUGUCUGUACAGUUUGACAAAUAAAUUGCAGAGUCCUAGUUUGUCAUUGUGCUGUUUUUAUGCAUGCCAGAGACAAACCUAAUUUUAAAUAUAGUAUUAUCUGUAUGGGUGUGACAGUAAAUGUAAUACAUUGUCUAAUGUAUAAAGUAGGCCACGCAAUCUACUAAAAAUAAAUGUCUACUUGUGAACCUGUUUUUCCAGUGUUGCAAUAAGUCCCAGGGAAAUAGCUAUAUGGUGUGAAGCCAGGAAAGAAGAGACAGAUUGAACUAUUGCAAUACCAGACAAACAUGUAAAGGGCCCAUACUAGGGGCUUCUGUGAAGUGAAGAAGUGUCUCACAAGGACAUUGGACUGACACAUCAAACCUUCUUUUUCAUUUUUUGCAUAUGGAUAAACAAUACAGAGCAAUAGGCCUAGACCAUUCUGGGCUCAAACAAUAUCAACAUUUAAGAAAAUAUUCAAAUAGAUAUGGCUAAAGGCCGACCUUGACAGAACAGAAAUGAUUUGUAGACUUCAGUUACUAAAGAGACGUUUUCAUGGUACCAGGACACAACAAUGGUGCGCGAAUGACUGGCUGGCUGGAACAGAACAAGUUGUCAUGGCAACUGUCUCGCUCUUCCACCUGGAUCCGCAGGAGCGGCGCAACAUCUCUCUUCUUUGUUCCCUACCGUCUGUCUGGACAUGACCCAAAAUCCACACGGGCUCCAUCGUGUGGUAAAUGUCUAGAAUACAUUUUGUUUUGAGUUCUUGAUGUUCUCAAUUUUCGAAACUCAAGAGAUGCACGAGAUAAAACUGUCUAAUCGUUAGCAUACAGCUAGCUACACAGCACUUUAAAAAAAAAAGUCAGGUGCAGGUUUCUUUCAUCAUAGUGUUCGCUGUAUGCAUAUUGUGUGUGAAUUGUGUUGUGUGUAUUGCUGAAUUGUCAUCUGUUGAUAUGAUUAUGUGGGCUACAGGUUGUGUUUUUCUAGUGACAACAUAUCGGCAUGGUCUGUGGUUGAUCAAAACCCAUGGCACAGUUUCUAAACCAGUGGUCACCAAUUGUUCGAUCGCGGCAGACCAGGGAGAUUUGUGGCUAAAUCGAGUGCGCCUACUCUGCUGGCCAAUCGGAUAGCUCACAUCACCGUGCCUACAAGCUUCCAAGACAGGAAGACCCCGGCGACAGAAAGUUUGAUACUAGCCAGCGUGAGAAUUCAUAACUUUUACAACCAUGUUCAGAUAAAUACUUUUAAAGAAUA